ACUUAAAUUGAUGUCCCAUUUUUCUCUUCACCUUGCUUGUGAUAUGAGCAUUGGAAUUCUUUGAAAUUAUUGCAACACAUUUCUGGGAUUUAGCAGAAAAGUGUUUACACUGCUGACUUGAAGACGGAAGCAGAUGUACAAUAUAUUACAGAUAAGCCCAAUACAUAUUGAUGCGAGGUAAGCUAGCAUAAGUGCAUAUCUCUCUAUACAUGGAGGCUUUUGUUGUAAAUGGAAAAAGUCAAUUUACUAUGUUGCCCUUCUAACAAGUGCACUUGAGCAUGUGCGUAUUUACGUAGCAAAUACAUAAUACUAAUGCCUACUAUUUAAAACAAGGACCACAUGCAUGCAGCACUCCAUGAGGAAAGUAAACCUUUAUUGACUUUGACUUCCGUUUUGUUUAACAAUAGUGCUUUUUUGCAACCAAGAUUUGGUAUAAGUCUGGCUUUUGAUAGUGCAGAACGUAUUUAUAAAAAUAGCAUGAACAUAUUCAGGUAGUCUGGAAAUAACUGGUUGUAUCUGCAAAUUACUAGAAAUAAUUAUGUAAUUGGAAUAUUGAUAAUUGGCGACAAUGACCAUCCAACAAGCUAUACAAUACUUGGAGUACAAGAUACGCAAGAUAUAAAAGAUGUAGAUUUUGACAUCAACUGUAAUAACUAUAUUUUUGGGUUACUGAACUGUCAACUUUGGAAAGGCCUAGCUACGCUACAAGAAUAGCGACAGCCCAUAUGCAUUUUGUGGAAAUUUAUCUCUUUUGCAUAUUAUGCAACGAGAACGAUGCAGACAAUCUCUUUCGAAAUAAUGUAGUCAUAUGUCGUGAAAUGUUACAUCGAUAAUGAAAAGUCCCUAGGAAAGUACUCAAAUUGGAGCUUCUCAGUCCUCACAUUAAGUAAGACCUCAACAUGUUUAAUUCAUUUUGUCGCAAUAAUAACUUGAGAUAUAAAUAUGCAAUUUCUCGGAUUCCAUCGUAAGCCUAACCUAAAACGUAUGCAUGUAUGUAUAAACCAGCUAUGUAAAUAAAUAUGUACAGACGACAUGUAUGCUUUAUCCUGAAUUUCUCUACGCUUUACUUACAUACUUAUUAGAAAGAUGCAUCAUGCACAUGCACAGAAUAUUUUUUCUGUUGAGUUGAUAUUUUCCAGGAAAAACUAAGUGAAUGGAAUUAAGGAAUUAAAAUUUGAAAAAUUUUCACGCCAACGAAACAAUGGAUGGCUGAGAUCAUAAAGUCACAUAUGUAAAUGCCAUGCACCUAUGUACAUAUUUAUAAUAAUUCAAUCCUUUAAUUUAUUUGCAUGCAAUCCUGGCCUUAUGAUCCCCUGUUCAGGAUAUCAUUUAGAUGGACAAUAUGCAUAAUUAAUUGAAGAGGGAUAUGAAAACUGAAACUCACAUGACAGUGAAAAAUAAAAUAAAUUGCGUUCUGUUUAUAAUUUUAACUGCAUUAAUUUAAUAAAUAUAUAACAUUUUAUCCUGAAAUGUAAAAUGUGUUUUAUACUGUAAUAACCGUAUAGACUUGUAUAAUGAAACAUGUAUAUAGAUACAUACAUACGUAAUUGAGGAACACAAACAAAAUAUCCGAUCUGGAACAACAAAUUGUGGUUAUGGUCAUUGCACAUCCUUGAAACUGUUAUGA